AUUGAACGCUGGCGGCAGGCCUAACCCAUGCAAGUCGAGCGAGCGGCGGACGGGUAAGUAAUGUCUGGGAAACUGCCUGUUGGAGAGGGCUAACUACUGGAAACGGUAGCUAAUACCGCAUACCAUCAGAUGUGCCCCGAUGGGAUUAGCUAGUCGGUGGGGGAACGGCUCACCUAGGCGACGAUCCCUAGCUGGUCUGAGAGGAUGAUCAACCAAACUGGAACUGAGCAACGGUCCAGACUCUUACGGGAGGCAGCAGUGGGGAAUAUUGCACAAUGGGCGAAAGCCUGAGGCAGCAAUGCCGCGUGUGUGAAGAAGGCCUUCGGGUUGUAAAGCACUUUAAGCGGGGAGGCGUUACCCGCAGAAGAAGCACCGGCUAACUCCGUGACAGCAGCCGCGGUAAUUC
rnacentral:rRNA from 1 species